UAUAUUUUAGUAUAGUAGGUACGAGAGGGUUUGAUUCUUUAAGCAAUAAAAUAUUUUUAUUAAAUAUAA
rnacentral:tRNA from 1 species